AAGCUCGUAGUUGAAUUUCGGGUUAGUAGGUUGGUCAUGCCUCUGGUAUGUACUGGUCUCACUGAUUCCUCCUUCCUGAUGAACCGUAAUGCCAUUAAUUUGGUGUUGCGGGGAAUUUGGACUGUUACUUUGAAAAAAUUAGAGUGUUUAAAGCAAGCUAACGCUCGAAUACAUUAGCAUGGAAUAAUGAAAUAGGACGUUCGAUCCUAUUUUGUUGGUUUCUAGGAUUGACGUAAUGAUUAAUAGGGAUAGUUGGG
rnacentral:rRNA from 1 species